rnacentral:lncRNA from 1 species
AGAGGGUCUACUCAGACAGACUGACAACAUUUGUGGGCAAGCCCAGCUCAGCUUCUGCAGCCAGCCUGCAGUUUGCCAGUUUGGAUCCUGGGUGCAAACCUACGCACUGCUCAACAAGCCAUGCUGAGGUGGCGUCCCACACAGAGGAGCUAGAAUGACCUACAACUGGAAUAUACAACUAGAGGUGUAAGGCCAGCUCCAGAGAGGAGGAUUUGAACUGAGGCUAAAACACACCUCCAUAUCGGUGACCAUUGCAAAGUCCCAAGUCACCUGUGAUUUCAAAGUCACCAAUGACUAAUAACUCCACAAGAUUCUAGAUGAGCAGCAGAUGUGGUUACGUCCUAAACCUACUGGAUGGAUCUGGUGUCAAGUCUCCUCUGGACAGCCGGUGACGCUGAUGGGCCCCCACCGCCACAAAGAACAUCAAUCAGGGAGGACUUCAGGGGGGAGUAAUCACAUAUCUUGAAAAGAGAAUAAUAGCCAGAAGCCCCUGAAGUUCUCACCAUGAAGCACCAUGGCUCCAACACUCAGAACCCCGCUCAGGACAAAGGACUCUGAGCAGAUACCAAACGGUGGAACCUGGGGUGGUCUUAUCUGCAGGGCUUUCUGCUUUUUAUUGACCGUUGGCAGACUAGGAGGAAGACAGGAGACAACAGGGAUUCUGUACCUAAGGCGGCAAC